AUUCGGGCAGCUGUUGACAUCUUUGUAAAUCAUUUUGAAGAAAAACUACUGCUUUUAUUCCAUGAUUUCCUAUGGGAUGAACAAAACAUUGACGUCAAAAGUAUCAAACUCUCCGAGGCUCCGCUGAUGAGAGCCUUUCAUCAGGGCCUUGUAAUUGCGUUAAAAAAAAACCCAAAAACAAAGUGCACUUCAGCAAGAAUUGAUAGAAUAAUAAAAAUGUUUGCAAGUGCGGGGCCAGGCGCAUGAAAUGUUUGUUUGUUCCACAGCCAAAAAGUCAGUUUGAGCGUUAUGAACGUCAGCUCCCGGUGCGGCGUCAAUAUUCAUCCAUUAACAUCACACACGGAAUGGAUCAUUUCAUAUGAAACUGUCCCGGACUGAAAGUCUGCAGAUUCCAAGAAGGGAAUGAUGGACGACGUCGGAAUGUUUAUUGGACUUAAUGGACUUUUCGUCAUUCAUGAACGCCUGAAAGGUAGCCCAUCAUUCACUCGGGGGAUUUGUAAGCAAGCUCAUAAACCGGCUGCGCUUCAUCCAUAAUGCAAUGAAAUCAAACAAAAGUAGGUUCGAGCACACGCCGGCGCAGAGGCUCGACCUUUCUUUUGCUGUCACGUUGUCGAAAGUGACGGCGUUCAAAUCAAAUCAAAAGGCAACACGAGUCGAGCGCAUAAAUGACUCAUCACUCACCUAAAGCUUGGGCUCUCACGUACGUGCACAGUUGAAGCAAAAGCUGCGAGGCCGCGAUCGUCGCACUCCACCGACCCAUCUUGUCGGCGUUCCGCGUCCAACUUUCGGCUCACAAGUGUCUGAUGGAAGAUGGUGAGAGGAGUCCCACUCAGGGAAGGAGGAGGAGGAGCAGAACUCAAACCCCCUUUUUCUUUUUUUU